AGCUCUGCACAGUAGCAGUAUCAUAGCCAAUGAGGUUUAUCCAAGGUGUGAUUAUUGCUAAUGGAAAACUUUACCCAAUACCCCGUCAUGACUUGACUUGACUUUACUUGAAAUAUAGUCGGCAUUGGCGAUUUUUGGCAGUCUCUACAGGGA
rnacentral:snRNA from 1 species